GGGGGGGGGGGGGGGGGGGGGGGGGGGGGGCGGGGCGGGGGGGGGGGGGGUGAGCUGGCGGGGGGCGGGCGGGGGAGGGGUGUAGCGGGACGGGCCCGGGGGGGGGGGAGAGCUGCGGGCAGGAGCAGCUGAUACCGCAUACGACCUGAGGGGGAACGCGGGGGCUCGCAAGACCUCGCGCGAUUGGCGCGCCCGCCAUCAGAUUAGGUAGUUGGUGAGGGAAAGGCUCACCACGCCGACGAUCUGUAGCUGGCCUGAGAGGAAGACCAGCGACACUGGGACUGAGACACGGCCCAGACUCCUACGGGAGGCAGCAGUGGGGAAUUUUGGACAAUGGGCGCAAGCCUGAUCCAGCCAUGCCGCGUGCGGGAAGAAGGCCUUCGGGUUGUAAAACGCUUUUGUCAGGGAAGAAAAGGUUCUGGCUAAUACCGGGGACUCAUGACGGUACCUGAAGAAUAAGCACCGGCUAACUACGUG
rnacentral:rRNA from 1 species